UGCCAGCCGCCGCGGUAAUACGAAGGGUGCAAGCGUUAUCCGAAUUCACUGGGUUUAAAGCGUACGUAGGUGGCUAGAUAAGUCAGUGGUGAAGACUAACAGCUCUACUGUUAACGUGCCAUUGAUACUGUUUAGCUUGAGUAUAGUAGAGGUAGGCGGAAUUUUACAUGUAGCGGUGAAAUGCACAGAUAUGUAAAGGAACACCGAUAACGAAGGUAGCUUACUGGGCUAUUACUGACGCUGAGGUACGAAAGCGUGGGGAGCAAACAGGAUUAGAUA
rnacentral:rRNA from 1 species